ACCUGCAUUUGAAAGUGCCUGUGGAUUACACAUGCCUUAGUCCUUGACAGUGCAGGGAGAGGAACUGCUGAAAGCGUUUCCCCAUGUUUUAGAGGGUCCAUUCUUGUCCCUUCCAAAUGCUGGAACUUCAGUACA